GAGUUUCUGAUCUAUCAUGCUGUCGACGGUUGGUGCUAUGCCAACCGUGGCGUUAACGGAUAACAGAGAAUCUGGGUUCGAUUCUGGAGAGGCCGCAUGAGAAACGGCGACCACUUCUAAGGAAGGCAGCAGGCACGCAAAUUACCCACUUCGGACACCGAGAGGUAGUGACGAACAAUACCGAUGCGGCGCACUUACGUGUCGCCGUAAUCGGAAUGAGUACACUUCAAAUCCUUUAACGAGGAUCCACUGGAGGGCAAGCCUGGUGCCAGCAGCCGCGGUAAUUCCAGCUCCAGCAGCGUAUAUUUAUAUUGCUGCGUUUAAAAAGCUCGUAGUUGAAGCGUCAGACGCGGGAGGGCGGACGGCCGCACUGGUCGCUCUCGCCCGACCGAGCCAGGCGCAGAGGGCGCGCGCCGCUUGCACUUCACCGUGUGAGCGCGCCGCCGCUGCACGUUCACCUUGAAGAAAUUGAACCGCUUAGAGGGGGCGAGCAGCUUGAACAGCUCAGCAUGGUAUGAUGGAACAUGGGCUCGUACUCAUUUUGUUGGUUAGAGAGUCGGCGAGCCAAUGAUUAACAGGGACUGCCGGGGGCAUUAGUACUCGGACGGGAGAGGUGAAAUUCAAGGAUCGUCCGAAGACUCCCUACUGCGAAAGCAUUUGCCAAGAAUGUUUUCAUUAAUCAAGAACGAAAGUCAGAGGUGCGAAGGCGAUCAGAUACCGCCGUAGUUCUGACCGUAAACGUUGCCAACUGGCAAUUGGGCGCACUUCUGUCGAAGUUGCCGCCAGCAGUAUUGCCCGGGAAACCAAAGUCAUUGGGUUCCGGGGGGAGUAUGGUUGCAAAGCUGAAACUUAAAGGAAUUGACGGAAGGGCACCACCAGGAGUGGAGCCUGCGGCUUAAUUUGACUCAACACGGGAAACCUCACCCGGCCCGAACACUGUUAUGACAGACAGGUUGAGAGCUCUUUCUCGAUUCAGUGGUUGGUGGUGCAUGGCCGUUCUUAGUUCGUGGAGCGAUCUGUCUGGUUAAUUCCGAUAACGAACGAGAUUCUUGCCUGCUAAAUAGACGGCGUCGAGCAAGUGCGACGACCGUUCGCUUCUUAGAGGGACAAGCGGCUUUUAGCCGCGUGAAGCUGAGAGCAAUAACAGGUCAGUGAUGCCCUCAGAU
rnacentral:rRNA from 1 species